AGGGUUAUGAGAAUAAGAACAGGCCAUGUGAUGAGAUAACCUCAAGAUAGGAAGGCACGAGCACUGAUGAUAGUGGAGUACAAGGACGUCAAACAGAAAUGCUGCUUCUUGGAUUGGGGUACCACUCAAUGCAGUAAAUUACACCUGUUAUUUUCUUUCUUUUCUUUGUUUCUUUUCUUUUCUUUUUUUUUUCUUUUUGAGAUGGUGUUUCACUCUUGUUGCCCAGGCUGGAGUGCAAUGAAGCUAUCUUGGCUCACUGCAACCUCCGCCUCCUGGGUUCAAGCG
rnacentral:lncRNA from 10 species